UUUAAUUGCUCUAUUUCUAGACAUUCCAGGUGGUUAUUUUCAAGUCUGCCUGGCUUUAUAAUAUCACUCAUGCUUUUUACACAAUUUCAAUCUCCCUUUUUAUGUCCUCAAUCAUUUUAAGUAUGUGUAGUUUUUAUUCUACAUCUCAUAGUUCUAUUAUCUGAAAUCCUUAGGAUCUAUUAUUUUUUAUUUAUCUGCUGACUCUCACAUAGUGAACUUUUUUCAUUUUAUUUGGUAAUUUUGCAUCAUAAACUUAUUUUCUUUUUACUUAGGUGUAAGCAUUAGGGUGGAGGUACAGGUGGAAGGCAGGAAUCCCAGGAGUAUUACCAGCCAAGAAUCAGGGUAAAGAUUCAGACCAUGAGUCUAUGUGACAGCAUAUCUUAGCAGAAUUGGCAGUGUGCCUCACCCCUGCAGUGAGUGAAAACAUGGAGGAGUGAUGCCAGUUCCAUUCCGUAAAUCGGCCCGGGUGUGCACGUCAGCAGGGACGGUGUUCCUUGGACUUCGGCAUGGAAAGGCAGGAACAUAAAUGGGAGGCAUAUGCAUAAAACACAAUGGGGAAAGCAGAAAUGAAGAGCAACUGCAGAAACAAAAUAAGUCUCAGCUUGUUUCGGGAACACACAGCACACAGUUCUGCCUGUGAAAGAAUAAAAUUUUUAGUCACAGAAAGAUGAGUUGGGGACUGAGAUAUUUCUUGAGCACUGAUUAAGUGAAUGCAGUAUGCUCCAAAGGUAUUAGAGAGUGAAAACCCUAGAAAAACUUUAAAGUGGAAGAGAAUUUAGAAGUCCAUUAGUCUAUUAUUUCAAUUCUAAGAUAAAAGAAUUAAGACCUAGAGGUAUAAUGGACUCAGAUGUAGGCAUUGAGCACAGUGAAGAAAUUGGUACUGAAACUCUGACCUUGUAGAGGUUUGGUAAUAAGUCUUGAUGUUUCCAAUGUUCAUCAAUAUUCUUGUUGGCCACCUGUUACCCCAAAUAUACAUGUAAAUGUGGAAGUGGAUCUUAUGGAUUGAACGUUUGUGUUCACCACUCACCUUAGAUUCAUACGUUGAUGUAUGACUGAGAGUAAGGUGAUGCAAGAAAUGCUGCAUCAAGAACAGGCAGAAUGGG
rnacentral:lncRNA from 10 species